rnacentral:piRNA from 1 species
UGAGACACUGAAUCUUGUUGCCGAAAUC